rnacentral:lncRNA from 1 species
GGCUUGCUGGCAGCCAGUCUCAACAGUACAGUGAGCUCCAGGUUCAGUGACUGACCCUAUCUUAAAACAUAGGCAAAGAGAUCAGAUAGAGGCACACAAAGUUGACCUCUUGACUUCCAUGUGCACACACAGGCAAAGUGCAUGUGCAUACACAUGUAUGUGCAUGUACAUGUAUGAAAUGAAGUACCAGAAAAGACGAUGACAGACUCGCAUUCAAAUAACAAUUAUGCCAACAAACAGGAAAAGUUCCACGUUGCUAUCAAUCUGUGAAGUGGGACCCCCAAAGCCCAGGCAGUUUCGAAUCUCUCCAUUUGAUAAAGACAUUUUUCUUCAGAGCACAUUGACAGCUGAGAGUAUGAAGCAUGGCUGUCACCUGGGAAGUUGUCUGGCCACCGUCCUUAAGACAGUCUUGUUAUAUAGCAAAAAAAAAAAAAAAAAAAAAAAGAGGUUGGUUUUUUUGGUUGGUUGGUUGAUUGGUUGUUUUGUUUUGUUUUUUGGGGUUUUUUUUGAGACAGGGUUUCCCAGUGUAGCCUCCUUGGCUGUCCUGGAACAGCCUGUAAACCAGACUGGCCCCGAACUCCCAGAGACUUCCCCCUGCCUCUGUGUUCCGAGUGUUGGGAUUAAAGGUAUGCUCCACCACCAUCCAGCUAGCAAAGCCUUUUAAAGUAUUUAUAUUCCCUGACUCCCAAUAAGAUUUAUCCAGUAACAUAACAGGAGACAGUGCUCACAAAAUGUCAUGUCCACAGGGAACUUCUUUAGAAUUGUCCCGAGUAGUGAAGAUUCGUGAACAAUUUAAAAUAACCCACAAGGGUAGAGAACUAAACACGCUUACCAUAGUUUUAGCCACCUAAAAACUAUAACACUGAAUGCAUUAUGGAAAUGAGUUUUUAAAUUAGAGAUCUAUAAAGUAAAAAUGUAAUAGAGAUGAGCUGCUAUAUGCAUGCAUAUAUCCAUAUUCAUAACUGUGAACGAUCUACAUAUAUGUUUUUUUUUUUUAAGAAAGCUCUUCUCUGGGUAGUGAGAUAAGUGAAAUAGUGUCUUUCUUAUAUGUUAUUUAAAGUUUUCUCCAAAUUUUACCCAGUAAAUGCAUAUUACUUUUGUGGUUCACAGAAAGAAAUAGAAGGGCAAACACUUCUUCAGGGAAAGGGGUCGAGGCCCCUUCUGUUGGCUGUAGUGGACGGAGAACUGGGAGUCAAGCCACAGCUUUUAUAAAAUCAUUUGCCAAUGUUUUCAAACCAGGAUUCUCAGGUGCUGCCUGGCUCAGAAUUAACCAGGAAGACAGCAGAUUCAUUAGGACACCAGAAGUCCCUUAAUUUGCUGAUAAGAACAUACACGGGUCGUUUAUUUACUGGGCGUCCCCACAGAGCCAUGUUCUUCACGUGUAGAGAGAGCUGAGCAGAACAGAGCAAACACACC